rnacentral:rRNA from 1 species
GAAAGUCUGACGGAGCAACGCCGCGUGAGUGAUGAAGGUUUUCGGAUCGUAAAGCUCUGUUGUUAGGGAAGAACAAGUGCCGUUCAAAUAGGGCGGCACCUUGACGGUACCUAACCAGAAAGCCACGGCUAACUACGUGCCAGCAGCCGCGGUAAUACGUAGGUGGCAAGCGUUGUCCGGAAUUAUUGGGCGUAAAGGGCUCGCAGGCGGUUUCU